GGAAGGAUCAUUCGUGGUUACUUCUGAUGAGGGAGAUUUUCGUUUCUGUGGGCUUGCGGGGGGUAAUGCUCUCACAGCGCAUGGGGAUGGGUUUCUCUGCUUGUCAAAACCUAUUGGAGGGAAGGGGGGCUUGGGGGAGGCUGGUUUUUUCCGGCCUCUUCUCCCCUUUUUCCUCAUCUGUGAACUGUUGGAUGAGUAUGUUUGGGUUGCCCCCUUUCUUCCAAAAGAAAAGGGGGGCGAACCAGGGGUGUUCUCCAAAUUUAAAACCUAACGUUUUGUGAACCUCAAGUCGUGAACAAACCAUGACGAAAGAAACACAACUCUUAGCAACGGAUCUCUUGGCUCUCGCAUCGAUGAAGAACGCAGCGAAAUGUGAUACGUGAUGUGAAUUGCAGACUUCGUGAAUCAUCGAAUCUUUGAACGCAAAUGGCGCUCUUGGGCUUGCUCAAGAGCAUGUCUGUUUGAGGGUCAGUUUCCCGAUCACACCCGGCGGCUUUCGAGCUUAGCUUUGGGGACUGUGGACGAUGAGCAUUCUCCUAACCGCGAGAUUGCUUGAAAGACAUGCAGGAUGGCAGCCGCUCACACGUAGCUAAUACCCAUUCCAAACAUCAAAACGUCAGCCAUACGCAAAGGGAUUGUCUUUGCUAUGCAGCCCCGACCUCCGGGUGUCUGUUCAUAGCUCGGAGAUGAACUUUGUCAACGUGUGGAUAUUGUGUUUUUUGGUGGGGUAUUUUGGCCGGUGUGUCACCGUUUGCAACACACAUUGACCUGUGCCGGGUUCUGAACAACUAGUGAUUUUUUCCUUCGGGGAAGAUUAUAUAACUGCGAUGUUCGGAAACCGACUCUUGGGCCCUCUGUUGUUGCCGAGAAGUGGCUGAGUAUGCCUGGCAAAUCCGACUUUCGCAGUCGGGUGCAAACCAGUUCUUUACGAAACUCAACUAUGACCUCAAAUCAGGCAAGACUACCCGCUGAACUUAAGCAUAUCAGUAAGCGGAGGAAAAGAAACUAACCAGGAUUCCCUAGUAACGGCGAGUGAAGCGGGAAGAGCCCAACAUGAAAAUCGGCUGCCUUCGGUAGUCGAGUUGUAGGGUCGAGGGGCGACUCCCUCGUGUCGGCCACGUAUAAGUCCCAUGGAACGGGGCAUCAGAGAGGGUGAGAAUCCCGUACAUGACGUGCUGCCCGAUGCGGUUGUGGAGCGUUUCCAAAGAGUCAGGUUCCUUGGGAUUGGAGCCCAAAAUGGGUGGUAGAUCUCAUCUAAGGCUAAAUAUUGGCGAGAGACCGAUAGCGAACAAGUACCGUGAGGGAAAGAUGAAAAGCACUUUGAAAAGAGAGUGAAAAGGGCGUGAAAUUGCUAAGAGGUUAAGGUAUGGCUGCCUUGGGUACGCUUGUGAGUAUGGCAUCGCAUUGCGGCGAGUGAAGCUGUCUGGAGAGCGCAAGCCUCGGACGGUGUAGCGGAGCCGUGGCGGUGUCCUCUACCACAAGUGUGAGCCAGCAUCGGUUUUAUGUUGGUGACAUACGCGCUCCAGGAAGAUGGCAUUUGGGUUGGCUUCGGCCGCUCGCUUGCUUUACAGACUGGGGAUCUCGCGGGUCGGCCAAAGAGACCGAGGCCCGAAUGAGGGCCUGCCAGUGGAUCGUGGGCUUGUCGCUUCAGGUGGUGUCGGCUCCCGUUGUGCGGUGGCGUCGUCCAGAACGGAGAACGGCGUCGACAUCGCUUGGAGGAGAGCAGGUUUGCGUGAAGCAGCGGCAGUGGAUGCUGGCGCAUGGGUAGUCAUUCACCCGUCUUGAAACACGGACCAAGGAGUUUUAUACGUGUGCGAGUUGUAUGGUGACAAACCAAUGCAAGCGCAAUGAAAGUAAGAGGUGGGAUCCGGCGGUAACACGACGGCGCACCAUCGACCGGUCUUGAGCCCUCUGUGGUGAGAGUACCGAGUUGGAGCACACUUAUAGAGACCCGAAAGAUGGUGAACUAUGCCUGAGCAGGGUGAAGCCAGAGGAAACUCUGGUGGAGGCUCGUAGCGGUGCUAACGUGCAAAUUGCUCGUCGGACUUGGGUAUAGGGGCGAAAGACUAAUCGAACCAUCUAGUAGCUGGUUCCCUC
rnacentral:misc_RNA from 1 species